CCUACGGGGGACAGCAGUGGGGAAUAUUGCACAAUGGGGGAAACCCUGAUGCAGCAACGCCGCGUGAGUGAAGGAGUAUUUCGGUAUGUAAAGCUCUAUCAGUAGGGAAGAAGAAAGACGAUACCUGACUAAGCAGCCCCGGCUAACUACGUGCCAGCAGCCGCGGUAAUCCGUAGGGGGCACGCGUUAUCCGGAGUUACUGGGGGUAAAGGGAGCGUAGAGGGCUGUGCAAGUCUGAAGUGAAAGCCCGUGGCUCAACCGCGGAACUGCUUUGGAAACUGUAUGGCUUGAGUACUGGAGAGGCAGGCGGAAUGCGUAGUGUAGCGGUGAAAUGCGUAGAUAUUAGGAAGAACACCAGUGGCGAAGGCGGCCUGCUGGACAGAAACUGACGUUGAGGCUCGAAAGCGUGGGUAGCAAACAGGAUUAGAUACCCUAGUAGUC
rnacentral:rRNA from 1 species